GCUUCAACACUAAAACAAAACAAACACACUCAUUCAUUAGUUUAAGUAUGAAGCUCUGCAAAUCAAAAAUAGGAGAGAUGUGGGAGUUUUUCUUGAGGGAUUGUUUGUUGUCCCUCUCCUAUACAUAGAUCUGCAUGAUUUUAGAGAUAAAAUCAGAGCUGAUGAUUCUAAAUUUGAUAAAUCAAACAACCCUCCUCUCCCUCUCUCUCAAUCUCUGUUGCUGCUGCUGUUGCUUCUUCUUCUUCUUCUUCUCAUAAAAAAAAACACUAAUAUCCGUUGGAUGAUUUUCAGCACAUCUCUAGACAAUACGUCACUAAGAAGAGAAUGUUUAAUUAUUGUCCGCACUCUGAAGUAGAAAAGAAAGUUCAGUUCAGUUCAGUUCAGAAGUACAGUUUCAAGAAAACAAGAUUGUUCUACCCGGAUCAUCUUAGGGUUUCGAAAUCAAUCAUACUUUAGAAAUUAUUUUAUACUAGAGGGAGGAAUCAUGGAUUAGUAAAAUGGAUUUCUUCACCUAAACCUCAAAUUUUCUUCAAUUUUUCUUUAUCAAACUACCAAAGACAAACUUCGAAAUCUCUUUACAAUGAAAAUCUUCUUAUCGAAGGUUUUGAUCAUCUUAUGUCUAAUUGUAGUUACUGAUUGUGUUAUGUUUCCUCUGAAAUCAUCUCACGACGCCGAUGUCAUGAUUGAUUUGAAGAAGGCCUUGGUUUUGGAUAAAUCUCUGAACUGGUCGGAUCCCAGUCCUUGCAAAUGGGAGGGAGUAUUCUGUACCGAAAACAGGGUUUCCGGCAUUCAGUUUUCUGAGUCUCAGGUCAAGGGCGAAGUUCCAUCCAAUUUCAAAGACCUGUCUAUGCUCAAGAUCUUAGUGCUGCAAGGUAAUGCACUCUCAGGUGUUCUUCCAAUUUGUGGGAUGACACAUUUAGAAACAGUACUUAUUGAUCGAAACUAUUUCAGUUCUGUACCUUCCAAUUGUUUUAAUGGUCUGACUAAUCUUAGAACUAUAUCACUUGAUCAUAAUCCAUUCACACAAUGGGAGAUCCUAGCUUCUUUGGUGAGUGCUAGAGAUGUUGAGUAUAUAUCUAUUGAGAAUGCAAGUCUUAUAGGAAAAAUACCUAAGUUCUUAAGAGGGGGUCGUUUCCCUUUGCUAAAACAGUUAAAUGUUGCCAACAACAGAUUAGAAGGUCCAGUUCCUACUGAUUUUGCUACUCUUCCAUUGACAUCUCUCCAGUUGAAUGGUCAAAAAUUUAAUGGAGAUGUCUUUUUGUCAAACAUGAGCAAUUUGAGCGUAAUUAGGAUAGAAAAUAACUUCUUUUCUGGCCCUCUUCCGAAUAUGUCUAUGUUAAGAGAGUUGCAAGAACUAAAUCUGGCGAGAAACAAGUUUUCGGGUCCUGUUCCUUCUUCAUUGACAGGUCUGAUCAAUUUGGGAGAGGUAAACUUGAGUAGCAACUAUUUUCAAGGUCCGAUUCCGACAUUUAACAGAUCAAUGGAUUUUGGUCCUUCGAUGGACAACAACAGCUUUGUCUGUUGGAGCCGGGAGAAUGUGACCCUCGGACCAGCAUUCUGUUAGCAGUUGUCAAGUCAUUUCAUUAUCCUCUGAAGUUUGCAGAAACGUGGAUAGGCAAUAACCCAUGUGAUUCUUUCUACGGAAUAAGGUGCUAUAACGGAGACAUAAUUGGUUUAGACUUCAAGAACAUGGGGCUAGCUGGGAGUAUAUCUCCACAAUUAUCUUUGCUGCAUACCUUGAAAAGUAUAAACCUUUCUGGAAAUAAGUUGACUGGUACAAUUCCCACAGUGAUUACGACAAUGCGGUCUCUAGAAAAACUGGAUGUUUCUGACAAUCAGCUCACUGGAGUCGUUCCAAAAUUAUAAAAAAAUGUUGUAGUGGACGUUCAUGGUAACUUGAUUUCUUCUUCAAACUCUAGUGGUUCACCUGAUCCAUCGCCACAUAAAUCCUCGGGUAAAUCACCAGGAGUAGUGUUUAUUGUGGUGGUCUCUGUACUUGGGGGAGGUUUCUUACUUUUGUUACUCGGGACUAUCUUUUUCUGUCUCUGCAAGAAGAAACCGAACUCACUGAGUUCGGAUGAAACACAUGGUGCUAUAGCAGAAGGCAAAUACUCCCUUCAGGAGUUGAAGACUGCAACAAAUGACUUCUGCCCACAAAACAUUGUAGGUGUUGGUGGAUAUGCUACUGUUUAUAAAGGAAAGCUUGUGGAUGGGACAAUGGUCGCUGUUCAAAAAAUGAAGCUUGAUCAUAUGACUGAGAAGGGUUUGGCCGAAGUCAAAAGCGAGAUUGAUGCUCUCUCGAAAAUUCACCAUCGUCACCUGCUCUCGCUACUGGGGUUUUACUUGGAUGACAAUGAACGACUCCUUGUUUAUGAGUUCAUGCCCAAGGGCACGCUUAGUGAGCACCUUUUUGGCCGUGGAGGAGUGGUGGUUAACCCCCUUGACUGGAUUACAAGAUUGAGGAUUUCUGUUGACAUUGCAAAGGGUAUUGAUUAUCUUCAUUCUUUAGCCACAGAAAGCUACAUUCAUCGUGACCUGAAACCGUCCAACAUCCUCCUCGGAGAUGACUUGAGGGCGAAGCUAGCCAACUUUGGGCUUCUUCGUCUGGCUCCUUCUGGGACAUCUUCUGCUACGACCAGAGUUAUUGGAACUUUGGGGUACAUAGAUCCUGAGUAUCAUGCAGAAGAAAAAGUGUCGACCAAGGCUGAUGUCUACAGCUUCGGUAUAAUCUUAAUGGAGCUGAUAACAGGUCUAAAGGCAUUGGACAAAUCCCGAUCAGAAGAGAGCAGUCUGUUAGCCCCUUGGUUCCAGAAAAUUCGACUGGACAAAGGAAAACUUGUUAAAGUGAUUGACUCUACAAUUGCAAUGAAUGAAGAGACAUUGCGUAGCAUUCAGACUGUGGCCUUAAUGGCUGCCCGCUGCUGUAACCGGAAUCCAAAAAGAAGACCUGAUAUGAGUGGAGUACUAGAUCAAUUAAGGCUGAUGUCUACAGCUUCGGUGUAAUCUUAAUGGAGCUGAUAACAGGUCUAAAGGCAUUGGACAAAUCCCGAUCAGAAGAGAGCAGGCUGUUAGCCCCUUGGUUCCAGAAAAUUCGACUGGACAAAGGAAAACUUGUUAAAGUGAUUGACUCUACAAUUGCAAUGAAUGAAGAGACAUUGCGUAGCAUUCAGACUGUGGCCUUAAUAGCUGCCCGCUGCUGUAACCGGAAUCCAAAAAGAAGACCUGAUAUGAGUGGAGUACUAGAUCAAUUAUCACUUCUGCUCAGGGAACCUGCAAAGGAUGCCAAAGACAGCCACGUCGUUGAUAUCGAUAUGAUGGGAAGUUUUAGCAACUCUAGAGCCACGGCUACGCUUGGUUCCUUACCAGAGAGGGUAACACCAAGAAGAAACUUAUUAUCCCUAUUCCAGCAGCCUUUCUGGAAUACUACUCCAAAAUCCAUAUAGCAGUACCAGUAUUUGGUAUAUUAACUCAGUAGGAGGCGGAUUUCGUGGAUAUUGUAUGCAUUGGUGCCUACCCAGUUUACCUUGCACAUGGGUUGAUAACUUUUCAGCAAUGUUUCGGUAUUGUGCCAAUUGAACAAUUUGACAGAUUUUUUAUGGAUUUACCUUUGUCCAUGAAGCAAGUCACCUUUUGCAGACAGACUCAUGAUAGCAGAACUUGUUGGAGAUUGGUUCAUCAUUGACCCAAUAGACACAAGCUGCUGGUUUAUUCUCGUCAUGUUUUCCCGUGUAACAAGUUUUUUUACACGAUUACCUGAAAUUGAAAGCUGAAAUGAAA